rnacentral:lncRNA from 1 species
GUGGGAGUAGAUUCUGUUAAAAUAGUUUAAUGUGAUUUGCUCUAUCAUGGAUACGUUUGUCUUAGUGUAUUUUGCAUUACUUUUGUUGUAGAUUAAAUGGCACCUAGCAGCACUACACCGUUUGCUUUGCGUUUGGUCCUUGAGAAGGACAAGUUGAAUGGAACAAAUUACUCGGAUUGGAUCCGUAACCUGAGAAUUGUUCUCAGGGCUGAGAAAAAGGAAGAUGUUCUAGA